CCAGCAGCCGCGGUAAUACGUAGGUGGCAAGCGUUAUCCGGAUUUAUUGGGCGUAAAGAGAGUGCAGGCGGUUUUCUAAGUCUGAUGUGAAAGCCUUCGGCUUAACCGGAGAAGUGCAUCGGAAACUGGAUAACUUGAGUGCAGAAGAGGGUAGUGGAACUCCAUGUGUAGCGGUGGAAUGCGUAGAUAUAUGGAAGAACACCAGUGGCGAAGGCGGCUACCUGGUCUGCAACUGACGCUGAGACUCGAAAGCAUGGGUAGCGAACAGGAUUAGAUACCCUGGUAGUCCAUGCCGUAAACGAUGAGUGCUAGGUGUUGGAGGGUUUCCGCCCUUCAGUGCCGGAGCUAACGCAUUAAGCACUCCGCCUGGGGAGUACGACCGCAAGGUUGAAACUCAAAGGAAUUGACGGGGGCCCGCACAAGCGGUGGAGCAUGUGGUUUAAUUCGAAGCUACGCGAAGAACCUUACCAGGUCUUGACAUCUUGCGCCAACCCUAGAGAUAGGGCGUUUCCUUCGGGAACGCAAUGACAGGUGGUGCAUGGUCGUCGUCAGCUCGUGUCGUGAGAUGUUGGGUUAAGUCCCGCAACGAGCGCAACCCUUGUUACUAGUUGCCAGCAUUAAGUUGGGCACUCUAGUGAGACUGCCGGUGACAAACCGGAGGAAGGUGGGGACGACGUCAGAUCAUCAUGCCCCUUAUGACCUGGGCUACACACGUGCUACAAUGGACGGUACAACGAGUCGCGAACUCGCGAGGGCAAGCAAAUCUCUUAAAACCGUUCUCAGUUCGGACUGCAGGCUGCAACUCGCCUGCACGAAGUCGGAAUCGCUAGUAAUCGCGGAUCAGCAUGCCGCGGUGAAUACGUUCCCGGGCCUUGUACA
rnacentral:rRNA from 2 species